rnacentral:rRNA from 1 species
AGCAGCCGCGGUAAUUCCAGCUCCAAUAGCGUAUAUUAAAGUUGUUGCAGUUAAAAAAGCUCGUAGUUGAAUUUCGGGAUCAAUAUGUCUGUCGUGCCUUUGGUACGUACGGGUAUAAUUGGUUUCUACCUUCUGAUGAACCCUGAUGCCAUUAAUUUGGUGUCUUGGGGACUCAGGACUGUUACCUUGAAAAAAAUUAGAGUGUUUAAAGCAGGCAUACGCUUGAAUACAUUAGCAUGGAAUAAUGAAAUAGGACGUUCGAUUCUAUUUUUGUUGGUUUCUUAGGAUCGACGUAAUGAUUAAUAGGGAUAGUUGGGGGCAUUAGUAUUCAAUUGUCAGAGGUGAAAUUCUUGGAUUUAUUGAAGACUAACUACUGCGAAAGCAUUUGCCAAGGAUGUUUUCAUUAAUCAAGAACGAAAGUUAGGGGAUCGAAGACGAUCAGAUACCGUC